rnacentral:rRNA from 1 species
CUGGAACUGAGACACGGUCCAGACACCUACGGGUGGCAGCAGUCGAGAAUCAUUCACAAUGGGGGCAACCCUGAUGGUGCGACGCCGCGUGGGGGAAUGAAGGUCUUCGGAUUGUAAACCCCUGUCAUGUGGGAGCAAAUUAAAAAGAUAGUACCACAAGAGGAAGAGACGGCUAACUCUGUGCCAGCAGCCGCGGUAAUACAGAGGUCUCAAGCGUUGUUCGGAAUCACUGGGCGUAAAGCGUGCGUAGGCUGUUUCGUAAGUCGUGUGUGAAAGGCAGGGGCUCAACCCCUGGAUUGCACAUGAUACUGCGAGACUAGAGUAAUGGAGGGGGAACCGGAAUUCUCGGUGUAGCAGUGAAAUGCGUAGAUAUCGAGAGGAACACUCGUGGCGAAGGCGGGUUCCUGGACAUUAACUGACGCUGAGGCACGAAGGCCAGGGGAGCGAAAGGGAUUAGAUACCCCUGUAGUCCUGGCAGUAAACGGUGCACGCUUGGUGUGCGGGGAAUCGACCCCCUGCGUGCCGGAGCUAACGCGUUAAGCGUGCCGCCUGGGGAGUACGGUCGCAAGAUUAAAACUCAAAGAAAUUGACGGGGACCCGCACAAGCGGUGGAGUAUGUGGCUUAAUUCGAUGCAACGCGAAGAACCUUACCUGGGCUUGACAUGUAAUGAACAACAUGUGAAAGCAUGCGACUCUUCGGAGGCGUUACACAGGUGCUGCAUGGCCGUCGUCAGCUCGUGUCGUGAGAUGUUUGGUUAAGUCCAGCAACGAGCGCAACCCCUGUUGCCAGUUACCAUCGAGUAAUGUCGGGGACUCUGGCGAGACUGCCCAGAUCAACUGGGAGGAAGGUGGGGACGACGUCAGGUCAGUAUGGCCCUUAUGCCCAGGGCUGCACACGUACUACAAUGCCCAGUACAGAGGGGGCCGAAGCCGCGAGGCGGAGGAAAUCCUGAAAACUGGGCCCAGUUCGGACUGUAGGCUGCAACCCGCCUACACGAAGCCGGAAUCGCUAGUAAUGGCGCAUCAGCUACGGCGCCGUGAAUACGUUCCCGGGUCUUGUACACACCGCCCGUCACAUCAUGGAAGCCGGUCGCACCCGAAGUAUCUGAAGCCAACCGCAAGGAGGCAGGGUCCUAAGGUGAGACUGGUAACUGGGAUGAAGUCGUAACAAGGUAGCCGUAGGGGAACCUGCGGCUG